rnacentral:rRNA from 1 species
UACGAAGGGGGCUAGCGUUUUUCGGAAUUACUGGGCGUAAAGCGCACGUAGGCGGGUUUGUAAGUAGAGGGUGAAAUCCCAGGGCUCAACCCUGGAACUGCCUUCUAAACUGCAAGCCUGGAGGUCAGGAGAGGCGAGUGGAAUACCGAGUGUAGAGGUGAAAUUCGUAGAUAUUCGGUGGAACACCAGUGGCGAAGGCGACUCGCUGGACUGAUACUGACGCUGAGGUGCGAAAGCGUGGGGAGCAAACAGG